rnacentral:rRNA from 1 species
UACGUAGGGGGCAAGCGUUGUCCGGAAUUAUUGGGCGUAAAGCGCGCGCAGGCGGUUUCUUAAGUUGGGUGUCAAAGGCAGUGGCUCAACCACUGUACGCACCCAAAACUGGGGAGCUUGAGUGCAGGAGAGGGGAGUGGAAUUCCCGGUGUAGCGGUGGAAUGCGUAGAGAUCGGGAGGAACACCAGUGGCGAAGGCGGCUCACUGGCCCGGUACUGACGCUGAGGUGCGAAAGCGUGGGGAGCAAACAGG